rnacentral:lncRNA from 1 species
CUCAGCUGGUUUCUGCUUCUUUCAAACAGCUGGCCUGGUCUCAGAGCCUCUGCAGUGUGGCUAGUCUGGGCGUGACCCUCUGCCACUUGACUUGUCUGCUCUGGGGAAGAAGAGACACAGUGACUCUGGUCAGUUUCAGAACUUCCUGGAGCUAUUUUGAGUUGUUUAAGGAGCAUCUCUGUAGGAUGUAAUGGCCGUCUUGGCGGGAACUGCUACCAAGUAUGUGCCAAGAUUGAUAUUGGGGGACCAUCAUCAGAAGCACAGGGAGCUGUGCAUGACAUAAAGAGACUUCCAAAGUGGAGAUGGGGCUCCCAAUGGGGGCACUGCAGUGGGGUCUUUGCAGACGCUUGUUAGAGUAGGAAACGGGAUCUCCACUACCACAGAUUAUGAAGUUGAGCUUCCAGAGUGCGUACAUCUUGCAGCGAUCAGCACGCCAGCGGUGCCAAGUAGGAACGCCCCUCUGGAGGGCGACCUUCAGUGCCUCCCUGCUACAUGUCAUUAUUACGACUUUUACAUUUUUUUUUUUUUUGGUCUUUUUUUAAAAAAAAUAAUUAGGU